rnacentral:rRNA from 1 species
AUUGAACGCUGGCGGCAUGCCUUACACAUGCAAGUCGAACGGCAGCACGGGUGCUUGCACCUGGUGGCGAGUGGCGAACGGGUGAGUAAUACAUCGGAACAUGUCCUGUAGUGGGGGAUAGCCCGGCGAAAGCCGGAUUAAUACCGCAUACGAUCCACGGAUGAAAGCGGGGGACCUUCGGGCCUCGCGCUAUAGGGUUGGCCCAUGGCUGAUUAGCUAGUUGGGGGGGUAAAGGCCUACCAAGGCGACGAUCAGUAGCUGGUCUGAGAGGACGACCAGCCACACUGGGACUGAGACACGGACAAGACGACUACGGGAGGCAGCAGUGGGGAAUUUUGGACAAUGGGCGAAAGCCUGAUCCAGCAAUGCCGCGUGUGUGAAGAAGGCCUUCGGGUUGUAAAGCACUUUUGUCCGGAAAGAAAUCCUUGGCUCUAAUACAGUCGGGGGAUGACGGUACCGGAAGAAUAAGCACCGGCUAACUACGUG